rnacentral:rRNA from 1 species
UUCAUUCGGUUUAUUAAAGCAGCAAUGUGCUUGGAGAGGGGCCCGCGUCCGAUUAGCUAGUUGGUGGGGUAAUGGCCUACCAAGGCGUCGAUCGGUAGCUGGUCUGAGAGGAUGAUCAGCCAGACUGGGACUGCGACACGGCCCAGACUCCUACGGGAGGCAGCAGUUAGGAAUUUUGGGCAAUGGGCGAAAGCCUGACCCAGCAACGCCGCGUGGGUGAUGAAGGUCUUCGGGUCGUAAAGCCCUUUUUCAGGGGAAGAUAAUGACGGUACCCUGAGAAUAAGCCCCGGCUAACUACGUGCCAGCAGCCGCGGUAAUACGUAGGGGGCAAGCGUUGUCCGGAUUUAUUGGCGUAAAGCGCGUGUAGGCCGGCCAAGUG